rnacentral:rRNA from 1 species
UCGGGAAUUUUGGGCAAUGGGCGAAAGCCUGACCCAGCAACGCCGCGUGAGGGAUGAAGUAUUUCGGUAUGUAAACCUCGAAAGAAUGGGAAGAAUAAAUGACGGUACCAUUUAUAAGCUCCGGCUAACUACGUGCCAGCAGCCGCGGUAAUACGUAGGGAGCAAGCGUUGUUCGGAUUUACUGGGCGUAAAGGGCGCGUAGGCGGCGCGGUAGGUCACUUGUGAAAUCUCUGAGCUUAACUCAGAACGGCCAAGUGAUACUGCUGUGCUAGAGUGCGGAAGAGGCAACCGGAAUUCUUGGUGUAGCGGUGAAGUGCGUAGAUAUCAAGAGGAACACCUGAGGCGAAGGCGGGUUGCUGGGCCGACACUGACGCUGAUGCGCGAAAGCCAGGGGAGCAAAC